UACGUAGGCAGCGAGCGUUGUUCGGAGUUACUGGGCGUAAAGGGUGUGUAGGCGGCUUUUUAAGUUUGGUGUGAAAUCUCCCGGCUCAACCGGGAGGGUGCGCCGAAAACUGGGAGACUAGAGUGCGGGAUGGGAGAGUAGAAUUCCUGGUGUAGCGGUGAAAUGCGUAGAUAUCAGGAGGAAUACCGGUGGCGAAGGCGGCUACCUGGACAAAUACUGACGCUGAGGCGCGAGAGCGUGGGGAGCAAACAGG
rnacentral:rRNA from 1 species